UACGUAGGGUGCGAGCGUUGUCCGGAAUUACUGGGCGUAAAGAGCUCGUAGGUGGUUUGUCGCGUUGUUCGUGAAAACCGGGGCUUAACCUUCGGGCGUGCGGGCGAUACGGGCAGACUGGAGUACUGCAGGGGAGACUGGAAUUCCUGGUGUAGCGGUGGAAUGCGCAGAUAUCAGGAGGAACACCGGUGGCGAAGGCGGGUCUCUGGGCAGUAACUGACGCUGAGGAGCGAAAGCUAGGGGAGCAAACAGG
rnacentral:rRNA from 1 species